rnacentral:rRNA from 1 species
UACGUAGGUGGCAAGCGUUGUCCGGAUUUACUGGGCGUAAAGGGAGCGUAGGCGGACUUUUAAGUGAGAUGUGAAAUACCCGGGCUCAACUUGGGUGCUGCAUUUCAAACUGGAAGUCUAGAGUGCAGGAGAGGAGAAUGGAAUUCCUAGUGUAGCGGUGAAAUGCGUAGAGAUUAGGAAGAACACCAGUGGCGAAGGCGAUUCUCUGGACUGUAACUGACGCUGAGGCUCGAAAGCGUGGGGAGCAAACAGGAUUAGAUACCCCGGUA